CCUACGGGGGGCUGCAGUGAGGAAUAUUGGUCAAUGGGCGCGAGCCUGAACCAGCCAAGUCGCGUGAGGGAAGACGGUCCUAUGGAUUGUAAACCUCUUUUGUCGGGGAGCAAAAGACGCCACGCGUGGCGUUCCGAGAGUACCCGAAGAAAAAGCAUCGGCUAACUCCGUGCCAGCAGCCGCGGUAAUACGGAGGAUGCGAGCGUUAUCCGGAUUUAUUGGGUUUAAAGGGUGCGCAGGCGGAAGAUCAAGUCAGCGGUAAAAUCUAGAGGCUCAACCUCUUCGAGCCGGUGAAACUGGGUUGCUUGAGCGAGCGAGAAGUAUGCGGAAUGCGUGUUGUAGCGGUGAAAUGCAUAGAUAGCACGAAGAACUCCGAUUGCGAAGGCAGCAUACCGGGGCGCAACUGACGCUCAUGCACGAAAGUGUGGGUAUCGAACAGGAUUAGAUACCCUUGUAGU
rnacentral:rRNA from 1 species